rnacentral:lncRNA from 1 species
CCACAUGCUGAAAGUCAGAGCUCAGACUCACACUGCCCGCCCCCGCGCCGGACACUAACGACUUGGGAAUCACUAGGAGCAGAGCCUGGCAUGUGCGGGAGCCACCCUAAGAGAAACCAUCCCAGAAGAGAGGUGCUAACUAGGUGAAGACAUAUGACUCUGAGCUCCACUUCCUGAUUCUAAUGGAGGGAGAGUCUGGCAUGGAGCCAGGAAGCAGAAAAGGCAUGAAAGGAAGAACUAAUUUGGAGCUGGCGCAAACAGUCCAAUGCAGAUGUGCCAGGCGGGCACCAACUUCCUCAAUGAGCAGGCAAAGUAGUUCCAGAUCCCGGAGGGUAACCUGCUGCCAAAGUGACAAAGGUCCUGCUCGGCACACCUGGAGCUGGAGCAGGAAAACGAGAAGGGAACCCUUGGGGGUGUGGCCGAGCACUGCCUGUAUCGUGUCUGUAUCAGCUGUAUCGUGUCUGGACCAGAGAGCGCUGGCCUGGCAGGUCAUCACAGAGCAGGUCCAAGAGAACCCGGCAGGAGCAAUCCACGGGGGCGCAGGGACAGGAGGACCCACGUGGUCACUGGUGAUUCGGCGUGUUCUCCACGUCAACCGGCAGGUCACAAAAGCAACUGCAGCUCCUUGGAACUUUCCACCACAGAUGGGCGAUGGUGACCCCAGGUGA